rnacentral:rRNA from 1 species
AAUCAACGCUGGCGGCGUGCCUCAGACAUGCAAGUCGAACGAUUAAAGCUCUCUUCGGAGAGUGCAUAGAGUGGCGCACGGGUGAGUAACACGUAAGUAAUCUACCUUCGAGUGGGGAAUAACGUCCGGAAACGGACGCUAAUACCGCAUAAUGCAGCGGCAUCGCAAGAUGACAGUUGUUAAAGAUUUAUCGCUUGAAGAGGAGCUUGCGGCAGAUUAGCUAGUUGGUAAGGUAGUGGCUUACCAAGGCUACGAUCUGUAACCGGUCUAAGAGGACGGUCGGUCACACUGACACUGAAUAACGGGUCAGACUCCUACGGGAGGCAGCAGUCGGGAAUUUUGGGCAAUGGGCGAAAGCCUGACCCAGCAACGCCGCGUGAAGGAUGAAGUAUUUCGGUAUGUAAACUUCGAAGGAAUAGGAAGAAUAAAUGACGGUACUAUUUAUAAGGUCCGGCUAACUACGUGCCAGCAGCCGCUGUAAU